rnacentral:rRNA from 1 species
CCUACGGGUGGCUGCAGUGAGGAAUAUUGGUCAAUGGACGAGAGUCUGAACCAGCCAAGUAGCUUGAAGGAUUACUGACCUAUGGGUUGUAAACUUCUUUUAUAUGGGAAUAAACUGUUCCACGUGUGGGAUUUUGUAUGUACCAUAUGACUAAGGAUCGGCUAACUCCGGACCAGCAGCCGCGGUAAUACGGAGGAUACGAGCGUUAUCCGGAUUGAUUGGGUUUAACGGGAGCGUCGGGGGAUUGUUAAGUCAGUUGUGAAAGUUUGCGGCUCAACCGUAAAAUUGCAGUUGAAACUGGCAGUCUUGAGUACAGUAGAGGUGGGCGGAAUUCGUGGUGUAGCGGUGAAAUGCUUAGAUAUCACGAAGAACUCCGAUUGCGAAGGCAGCUCACUGGACUGCAACUGACACUGAGGCUCGAAAGUGUGGGUAUCAAACAGGAUUAGAUACCCCAGUAGUC